AGCAGCCGCGGUAAUUCCAGCUCCAAUAGCGUAUAUUAAAGUUGUUGCAGUUAAAAAAGCUCGUAGUUGAAUUUCGGGAUUAGUACGCUGGUCGUGCCUUCGGUACGUACUGGUGUUACUGAUUCCUACCUUCUGACGAACCAUCAUGUCAUUAAUUUGGUGUGGCGGGGAAUCAGGACUGUUACUUUGAAAAAAUUAGAGUGUUUAAAGCAGGCUCGCGCUUGAAUACAUUAGCAUGGAAUAAUGAGAUAGGACGUUGAUCCUAUUUUGUUGGUUUCUAGGAUUGACGUAAUGAUUAAUAGGGAUAGUUGGGGGCAUUAGUAUUCAAUUGUCAGAGGUGAAAUUCUUGGAUUUAUUGAAGACUAACUACUGCGAAAGCAUUUGCCAAGGAUGUUUUCAUUAAUCAAGAACGAAAGUUAGGGGAUCGAAGACGAUCAGAUACCGUCGUAGUCUUAACCAUAAACUAUGCCGACGUAGGGAUCGGAGUGAUGUUAUUUUUAAUGUACUCAUUCGGCGUCCG
rnacentral:rRNA from 1 species